rnacentral:rRNA from 1 species
GUGUAGCAGUCGCGAAACUUCCACAAUGGACGAAAGUCUGAUGGAGCGACGCCGCGUGCGGGGAUGAAGGCCUUAUGGGUUGUAAACCGCUGUCAGGGGGGAAGAACAUCGGAAUGAACAAUACUCAUUCCGACUGACCGUUACCCCCAGAGGAAGCUCCGGCCAACUCCGUGCCAGCAGCCGCGGUAAGUACGGGGGAGCAAGCGUUGUCCGG